rnacentral:rRNA from 1 species
GAUGAACGCUAGCUACAGGCUUAACACAUGCAAGUCGAGGGGAAACGACAUCGAAAGCUUGCUUUUGAUGGGCGUCGACCGGCGCACGGGUGAGUAACGCGUAUCCAACCUGCCCACCACUUGGGGAUAACCUUGCGAAAGUAAGACUAAUACCCAAUGAUAUCUCUAGAAGACAUCUGAAAUAGAUUAAAGAUUUAUCGGUAAUGGAGGAGGGUGCGUUUGAUGAGCUAGUUGGUGGGGUAACGGCCCACCAAGGCAACGAUCAGUAGGUGUUCUGAGAGGAAGGCACCCUAGAUUGGAACUGCGGCACAGACCACAAUGCUACGGGAGGGAGGAGUGAGGAAGACUGGUCGAGGGAGGAUAGUCUGACCCAGCCAAGUAUCGUGCAGAAAGCCGGCGCUAUUGGUUGUAAACUGCUUUUGUAAGAGAAUAGUGUGAGUCUCCCGAGAUUUUUUGCCGGUACCUUAUGAAUAAGGACCGGCUAACUCCGUG